CAAGAAACAGUUUUCAAUUAGUUCAUUCCUAAUAAAAUAUACAAUUCUGUUUAAUUAAUUUCCACCAUUAAUAAACCAGAAAGGAAAUAAAAUGUUUUGCAAUUCAAUUAAUCAAAUAUUAUCCCACAUUGAAAAUUCUCCAAUAGUAGUGGAAGACACAAAAGCAUGGGAUCUCUAGUUAAGCUAUACAUGUACUGUUUACUUUAAUAUGUUCUUUAAGAGGUGCAAUAUCACAUUUCCUAAUGAUGCUGGCUUUUUUAUCCACACAUCCUCUAGAACAGACAACAUCCUAGCAAAUGCCACAUGGUUAUGGUGGUCAUAUCUUCUUCUUCCAAGUAAUGGUUGUUAGGUAUAGAUGAGUUUUUCAAUGAAUGUGAUUCAUAUCUAAAUACAGCUGUAGCAUCAUGCAUGGUACCUAAUAAAAGAUUAUUGUAAAAUUGAUGUCUUUGUUUCAAUAUACUGCAUGUACUGUUGAUUUAUUAUUAUUCUUUGGAUACUAAUUUUCAUUGAUUUCGUAUGUACAGGUAAACAACAAAAAUCAAACAUUCAGCAAGUAACAAAUUUCUAUAGAAUUGUAUCAUCACUAAGCACACAUUGGCCAAACCAUGCAAUUAAACAUCCACAAACAUGCAAAUUUUCCUUAAUCCAUGAAAAUUGGAACCCACUAAAAACACAAAUGAAUCCACAGUAAUUCCUCUGAAAUUGACUGAAUAUUAUUUAGCAUCUAUACAUGACAUAUAUGUUCAUUACAGUGUCUUUCAUAUUUAAAAGAUAAAUUAGUCUUGUUAAAUGUGUCCAGACAGACAAAUAUUAGUAGACUAGUCAUGGUUGUGUUAACUUAUUGUGUAAAAUGUCCAUGGUUACAGAAUUUACUAGCAUAGUCUGAUGUCAGCAACUUAUGUCCCUAGACUAUUUUUUUCCUAGAAACUUAAUGUCAAUGUCAUCAAAAUUCCCAGG
rnacentral:lncRNA from 1 species